rnacentral:tRNA from 1 species
GGCCCCAUCGUCUAUCGGUUAGGACACCGGGUUUUCAUCCCGGCAAGAGGAGUUCGAUUCUCCUUGGGGUCACCA